UACGUAGGGGGCAAGCGUUGUCCGGAAUCAUUGGGCGUAAAGCGCGUGUAGGCGGUUCGAUAAGUCUGCUGUGAAAGUCCAGGGCUCAACCCUGGGAUGCCGGUGGAUACUGUCGAGCUCGAGUCCGGAAGAGGCGAGUGGAAUUCCUGGUGUAGCGGUGAAAUGCGCAGAUAUCAGGAGGAACACCAAUGGCGAAGGCAGCUCGCUGGGACGUGACUGACGCUGAGACGCGAAAGCGUGGGGAGCAAACAGG
rnacentral:rRNA from 1 species